rnacentral:rRNA from 1 species
GACGUAGGGCGCGAGCGUUGUCCGGAUUUAUUGGGCGUAAAGAGCGUGUAGGCGGCCGGACAAGUCCGUUGUGAAAACUAGAGGCUUAACCUCUAGACGUCGAUGGAAACUGUUUGGCUAGAGUCCGGAAGAGGAGAAUGGAAUUCCUGGUGUAGCGGUGAAAUGCGCAGAUAUCAGGAAGAACACCCGUGGCUAAGGCGGUUCUCUAGUACGGUACUGACGCUGAGACGCGAAAGCGUGGGGAGCGAACAGG